CCUACGGGGGGCAGCAGUGAGGAAUAUUGGUCAAUGGACGAGAGUCUGAACCAGCCAAGUAGCGUGAAGGAUGACUGCCCUAUGGGUUGUAAACUUCUUUUAUAUGGGAAUAAAGUGUUCCACGUGUGGGAUUUUGUAUGUACCAUAUGAAUAAGGACCGGCUAACUCCGUGCCAGCAGCCGCGGUAAUACGGAGGAUCCGAGCGUUAUCCGGAUUUAUUGGGUUUAAAGGGAGCGUAGGUGGAUUGUUAAGGCAGGUGUGAAAGUUUGCGGCUCAACCGUAAAAUUGCAGUUGAAACUGGCAGUCUUGAGUACGGUAAAGGUAGGCGGAAUUCGUGGUGUAGCGGUGAAAUGCUUAGAUAUCACGAAGAACUCCGAUUGCGAAGGCAGUUCACUGGACUGCAACUGACACUGAGGCUCGAAAGUGUGGGUAUCAAACAGGAUUAGAUACCCCAGUAGUC
rnacentral:rRNA from 1 species